UUCAAUACUAAUAAGUCUAAUAAUAAUAAUGAUAACAUGGCAAUAACUACCAUAUAAAUUAUAAAAGAAGGGAAAGGAAAAGGGAAAGGGAAAGGGAAAACUGAAAUGAAAACCAUUUUGUUGUUCCUAGUAAGUUCCUGAAUAAAGAGAGGUAGCAUAUCUUUGCUGUACAGUAUUUGAUGGUCUAUUCUUUUGAAGUUUUUAGUGACAUUGAUGUCUAUGGUUGUUGUGAGACAGUGUUUGACAUGCUAGAUAUUGCUGUGGAGAACUCUCUGAUAAAAUCAUUGUGGAACUGUCUCCAAUGAGCACCAUGUGCCUUUUCUGUUUCAGUAUCUAUAUGUUGUUGCAUCAGAUUGAACAUAUUCUUAAAGCAGGUUUUUCUUGUCCAUAUUUUGGUUUAGUUAUUUGCUGCCAUAUGCACUAUUUGGCCUCUAUCAAAGUGACCUCAUUUCCAUGUUACCUAUCAUACUUGGUAGUAUAUUUGCUAAUCAUAGCUCCAGACUAUCACCUGUUUUCCAGGACAUGUCUUGUAUAUUGGUUUUCAGGUCAAAUUUAGUCUGUCCUCUCCUCUCUCUCUCCCCAUAAUUAAGCAGUGGCAGAUUAUUCAUUGCUUAAUGUUGUUUGAGG
rnacentral:misc_RNA from 1 species